rnacentral:tRNA from 1 species
GCCCGGUUGGCUCAGUCCGUGGAGCACGCGACUCUUGAUCUUGGGGUUGUGAGUUCAAGUCCCACAUUGGGUG